rnacentral:rRNA from 1 species
UCGCCUACGGGGGGCAGCAGUGGGGAAUAUUGCACAAUGGGGGAAACCCUGAUGCAGCAACGCCGCGUGAAGGAAGACGGUUUUCGGAUUGUAAACUUCUGUUCUUAGUGAAGAAAAAUGACGGUAGCUAAGGAGCAAGCCACGGCUAACUACGUGCCAGCAGCCGCGGUAAUACGUAGGUGGCAAGCGUUGUCCGGAAUUACUGGGUGUAAAGGGUGCGCAGGCGGUCCUGCAAGUCUGG